GCGAUUUCGCCCGCGUAGAUUUACGUUUUUAAAAAUCCCGUGGGAACUCUUUGAUUUUCCGGGAUAAAAAGUAGCCUAUGUCACUCUCCAGAUCUUAAACUAUACCCAUCCAAAAAAUUACUUCGUUCUGUUACGCCAUUACGACGUGAUUGAAGGACAAAC